rnacentral:rRNA from 1 species
GACGAACGCUGGCGGCGUGCUUAACACAUGCAAGUCGAACGGUGAAGCGCCUUCCUUUUUGGUGGGUGUGGAUGAGUGGCGAACGGGUGAGUAACACGUGAGUAACCUGCCCCCUUCUUCUGGAUAACCGCAUGAAAGUGUGGCUAAUACGGGAUAUUCUGGGUCUGUCGCAUGAUGGGUCUGGGAAAGAUAUUGUUUCGGUGGGGGAUGGGCUCGCGGCCUAUCAGCUUGUUGGUGGGGUGAUGGCCUACCAAGGCGGUGACGGGUAGCCGGCCUGAGAGGGUGGACGGUCACACUGGGACUGAGACACGGCCCAGACUCCUACGGGAGGCAGCAGUGGGGAAAAUUGCACAAUGGGCGCAAGCCUGAUGCAGCGACGCCGCGUGAGGGAUGGAGGCCUUCGGGUUGUGAACCUCUUUCGCCAGUGAAGCAGGCCUGCCUCGUUUGUGGGUGGGUUGACGGUAGCUGGAUAAGAAGCGCCGGCUAACUACGUG